GGGUCAGUAGGUUGGUCGUGCCACCGGUACGUACUGGUCUCACUGAUUCCUCCUUCCUGAAGAACCGUAAUGCCAUUAAUUUGGUGUUGCGGGGAAACAGGACUGUUACUUUGAAAAAAUUAGAGUGUUUAAAGCAAGCUAACGCUUGAAUACAUUAGCAUGGAAUAAUGAAAUAGGACGAUCGGUCCUAUUUUUUUGGUUUCUAGGAUUGACGUA
rnacentral:rRNA from 1 species